UAUGGUAAUUUAUGUUUUUUUGGCACCUCUCAAUUAUUGUGGUGUUUUUGGAUAUGUCGAUCGAUCCAUUAGGAAUGACUUUUCAUAUAGAUACAAGUUUGAAAGUUCUUGGGAUGCUUCCUCGUCUGCACACGCAUAUAUACACACAUUUGUAUACAUGGCCGCUUGUGAUAUCUUCCAAACAACAAUGAUAGGCGUGUUCCUUUCAUUGUUGUUGCCUAGUUGGUGUAAAACAA